GCGCGGAUGAUGUUCUUUGCCCUCGUAUCCUGUACACGCGCCUAGAUUGUAUGUGCUCGAGUUUUGAGACUAAAUAAACCCCAUAGUUCUCUCGCGAAACGUGUGUCUCUGCGUGGUGCUUCGCGCUUUUGUUGGUGUAGCAGCAUCACUUGAGUGAUCUUGGAUGUACGCAGCUGCGUUGGAGAAAGCUUGUCAGUCUUUCGCAGAUGGAUUAGACAGUGAUACUCAGAGACCUGCUCCAAAAGUGUCAUGGCAUGGACAUGACAUUGAUCUUGAGGAUACAAGCACACAUUUAUUGGAUGACAGACUUUCAUCUAACAAAGACACCAAGAGGAAGAGACAGGUAAGGACAGAAGCCCAGAGUACAAGAGGAAUGGAGGAUGUUCCUCAGAGUGGUUUUACCUUAGAGACACCCAGCAUAUCACACGACUCUCUUUCACCACCCAGAGAUAUCCAAAGAACACACACCAUCCAAAGACUCGCGAGCAGCUCAAGUGAUGAGGAGAUUGAUGAACUGGGGAGACAAUGUGCACAGCUAUAGAAAAGUCCACAGCAUUCACAUGAGCUCUUUGAUUUUCAGAGAAGCUAUGAAUUAAUUGACUUGACCAAUCAGAUUCCUCCGGUACACAACAGCAUAGUUCAGAAUCUUGGAGAUGAUGAUGAUGAUGAUGAUGAUGAUGAUAAAGAAGACACAGUUGAAUGUAGGAGUUAAUACCAAGUUUUAUAGGAAUAGUUCUAAAUGAAAAUUCUGUUGCUUAUGUCAUUCCAAAGCUGUAUGACUUUAUUCUUCUGUGGAAUACAAAUGGGGAGCUUGUCCAUUUUUUUUUUUUCAAGCAGUUACAGUAAAAUAUUUUUUAAAUCAAUUUUAUCAGAACUACAUAAAAACAUAAAACAUUGUCAUUAACUGAAAAAAUAAUAAAGUAACACAAUUAGAAAACCUGGAACUAAAU
ensembl:lncRNA